GGCUGCGGGUAGCGCUUCCGCCUGAGGCGGGGUGGCACCAAACGGCCGGCGGGGAUCGCGUUAAAGCCGGGCGCCGCUCCGCUUGUGCUGCGCUGCUGACGUUGUUCCUAACGGAGGAAGAAGCUGCUUUUUACCUCCCGUGCAACACUGCUGCCUUUCUCGGUUUUUUUUUUUUGUUUUUCUUUCUUUCCCUGACGUUGCAGGGACAGACGUGCCCGAACUGGCAAGGGCGUAUUUCAGAUGGGAGCAUUUCUGGAUUGUUCUCAUUUCCUGGAGUGAAUUAUUGUGCCUUUUGCACCGGGUGCCUUUGCGGUGGCCGUGUAGGUGAGCACAAACGAGCACCGCAGUCAACCUGCACGCAGCCCAUAAAGCAGCACCCUGUGGAAACACCUGCUGUAUAGCCAUUACUCCCACCUGAGUGUUUCAGACCUAUCUGGUUCUUAAAAUAAACGUACACAGUGCUUCUUUUGAAGACAACCCUGUAGAAUUCUUAAUGUUAGCAUGUACACAAACGUAAAGACUUAGUAGAGAUGCAGGCUUUAUAGCUACAGCCUGUCUCCCUGCUAACCUAGCUGUGUGUUCCAGGGGGCUUUCUGAUUCCCCUCACAUCUGUCACACUUUGUGAUGAUGCACAGAACCCUCUUGGAUCACCCCUCCACCACAGGCAGCACCCGAUUUUUCUUUUGACAGUGGCCUAAUGGGUGUAGAUCCAAUUAAAUGGCUGAACAAUAGUUCUCUGUUUAUAUUUGCCUUUGAAAUCUGCCACUGUAAGUUUAGGAGUAAAGAUGAGCCUGAGACAUCUGAGAGCCUGCUUACUUUCUGUAAUCACGUUAUUUGAUGCGACGCAAGAAGUUAGCUGCGCAUUGACAUCAACCUCCCUUUGUAGUUCCAGUGACAUAGCAACCAUAAUCUGCAGUGCCAGGAGACUACGUCUCAGGAGUACAGAGGACUACAUACCUCGGAGGAAUUGUGCCAACUUCUUCCACUGCCAGGCUCAUAGGCACUGAGCUUAAAACAUCUCUGGAACAGAGAUCUAAUAAACACAAGCUUGACGCACCUGCA
rnacentral:lncRNA from 1 species